rnacentral:rRNA from 1 species
UACAGAGGGUGCAAGCGUUAAUCGGAAUUACUGGGCGUAAAGCGUGCGUAGACGGUUAUUUAAGUCAGGUGUGAAAGCCCCGGGCUCAACCUGGGAAUUGCAUUUGAGACUGAAUAGCUAGGGUGCGGAAGAGGGAAGCGGAAUUUCCGGUGUAGCGGUGGAAUGCGUAGAUAUCGGAAGGAACACCAGUGGCGAAAGCGGCUUCCUGGCCCAGCACCGACGUUCAGGCACGAAAGCGUGGGGAGCAAACAGG